rfam:Oryza glumipatula chromosome 5, whole genome shotgun sequence.
AAAAAGGCAAACCGUGGGUUCCCGUGCCAACGUUUGAUUAUCCGUCUUAUGUGAAAUUUUUUUAUAGUUAGUAUUUUCAUUGUUGUUAGAUGAUAAAACAUGAUUAAUACUUUAUGCAUGAUUUAUCUUUUUAAUUUUUUCAAAUAAGACGGACGGUCAAACGUUGGACACGAAAAUCAGGGUUUGUCUUUUU